UACGGGGGGGGGGCAAGCGUUGUUCGGAAUUACUGGGCGUAAAGGGCUCGUAGGUGGCCAACUAAGUCAGACGUGAAAUCCCCCAGGCUUAACCUGGGAACUGCGUCUGAUACUGGAUGGCUUGAAUUCGGGAGAGGGAUGCAGAAUUCCUGGUGUAGCGGUGAAAUGCGCAGAUAUCAGGAGGAACACCAAUGGCGAAGGCAGCUCGCUGGAACGGUACUGACGCUGAGGCGCGAAAGCGUGGGGAGCAAACAGG
rnacentral:rRNA from 1 species